rnacentral:rRNA from 1 species
UAACGCUGAGGUGUGAUGACGAGGCACUACGGUGCUGAAGUAACAAAUGCCCUGCUUCCAGGAAAAGCCUCUAAGCAUCAGGUAACACAAAAUCGUACCCCAAACCGACACAGGUGGUCAGGUAGAGAAUACCAAGGCGCUUGAGAGAACUCGGGUGAAGGAACUAGGCAAAAUGGUGCCGUAACUUCGGGAGAAGGCACGCUGAUAUGUAGGUGAAGUGAUUUACUCAUGGAGCUGAAAUCAGUCGAAGAUACCAGCUGGCUGCAACUGUUUAUUAAAAACACAGCACUGUGCAAACACGAAAGUGGACGUAUACGGUGUGACGCCUGCCCGGUGCCGGAAGGUUAAUUGAUGGGGUUAUCCGUAAGGAGAAGCUCUUGAUCGAAGCCCCGGUAAACGGCGGCCGUAACUAUAACGGUCCUAAGGUAGCGAAAUUCCUUGUCGGGUAAGUUCCGACCUGCACGAAUGGCGUAAUGAUGGCCAGGCUGUCUCCACCCGAGACUCAGUGAAAUUGAACUCGCUGUGAAGAUGCAGUGUACCCGCGGCAAGACGGAAAGACCCCGUGAACCUUUACUAUAGCUUGACACUGAACACUGGUCCUUGAUGUGUAGGAUAGGUGGGAGGCUUUGAAGUGUGGACGCCAGUCUGCAUGGAGCCAACCUUGAAAUACCACCCUUUAAUGGCUGGUGUUCUAACGUAGACCCGUAAUCCGGGUUGCGGACAGUGUCUGGUGGGUAGUUUGACUGGGGCGGUCUCCUCCUAAAGAGUAACGGAGGAGCACGAAGGUUAGCUAAUCCUGGUCGGACAUCAGGAGGUUAGUGCAAAGGCAUAAGCUAGCUUGACUGCGAGAGUGACGGCUCGAGCAGGUGCGAAAGCAGGUCUUAGUGAUCCGGUGGUUCUGAAUGGAAGGGCCAUCGCUCAACGGAUAAAAGGUACUCCGGGGAUAACAGGCUGAUACCGCCCAAGAGUUCAUAUCGACGGCGGUGUUUGGCACCUCGAUGUCGGCUCAUCACAUCCUGGGGCUGAAGUAGGUCCCAAGGGUAUGGCUGUUCGCCAUUUAAAGUGGUACGCGAGCUGGGUUUAGAACGUCGUGAGACAGUUCGGUCCCUAUCUGCCGUGGGCGCUGGAGAAUUGAGGGGGGCUGCUCCUAGUACGAGAGGACCGGAGUGGACGCAUCACUGGUGUUCGGGUUGUCAUGCCAAUGGCAUUGCCCGGUAGCUAAAUGCGGAAGAGAUAAGUGCUGAAAGCAUCUAAGCACGAAACUUGCCCCGAGAUGAGUUCUCCCUGACCCUUUAAGGGUCCUGAAGGAACGUUGAAGACGACGACGUUGAUAGGUCGGGUGUGUAAGCGUAGCGAUACGUUGAGCUAACCGAUACUAAUGAACCGUGAGGCUUAACCUU